rnacentral:sRNA from 1 species
GGCACCCUCCCUGAGGCCCUUUGAGGCCUUGCACUUUGUCUCCAAGCGAGAACACCCUAAUGUCCUUCCCAAGAGGAAGGGUGUUUGCAGUAGACAUACUGCAAGCCCCCUCCCCACGCCCUGUCUGAUCUCAUGGUGUGUGUGCAUUGGAAGAUGAGUUGAUCCGGGAGGUCACCAUCAACUGUGCGGAGAGGGGGCUGCUGCUGCUGCGAGUCCGGGACGAGAUCCGCAUGACCAUCGCUGCCUACCAGACCCUGUACGAGAGCAGCGUGGCGUUUGGCAUGAGGAAGGCACUGCAGGCUGAGCAGGGGAAGUCAGACAUGGAGAGGAAAAUCGCAGAAUUGGAGACGGAAAAGAGAGACCUGGAGAGGCAAGUGAACGAGCAGAAGGCAAAAUGUGAAGCCACUGAGAAGCGGGAGAGCGAGAGGCGGCAGGUGGAGGAGAAGAAGCACAAUGAGGAGAUUCAGUUCCUGAAGCGAACAAAUCAGCAGCUGAAGGCCCAACUGGAAGGCAUUAUUGCACCAAAGAAGUGAUAAUUUCCACAUGAUUAAUUUCCAACAAGACACUUGGGAGUUAUUUACUGUGUUCCUCUGGCAGCCAAUAAAAUCAUCAUAAGCC